GAUGAACGCUGGCGGCGUGCCUAAUACAUGCCAGUCGAGCGAACAGACGAGGAGCUUGCUCCUCUGACGUUAGCGGCGGACGGGUGAGUAACACGUGGAUAACCUACCUAUAAGACUGGGAUAACUUCGGGAAACCGGAGCUAAUACCGGAUAACAUGUUGAACCGCAUGGUUUAACAGUGAAAGACGGUCUUGCUGUCACUUAUAGAUGGAUCCGCGCCGCAUUAGCUAGUUGGUAAGGUAACGGCUUACCAAGGCAACGAUGCGUAGCCGACCUGAGAGGGUGAUCGGCCACACUGGAACUGAGACACGGUCCAGACUCCUACGGGAGGCAGCAGUAGGGAAUCUUCCGCAAUGGGCGAAAGCCUGACGGAGCAACGCCGCGUGAGUGAAGAAGGUCUUCGGAUCGUAAAACUCUGUUAUUAGGGAAGAACAAAUGUGUAAGUAACUAUGCACGUCUUGACGGUACCUAAUCAGAAAGCCACGGCUAACUACGU
rnacentral:rRNA from 1 species